rnacentral:lncRNA from 1 species
CGCCUGACCAUCCUUUCCCCUCAGGAUGAAGCGGGCCAGUUCCCUCAACUUCCUCAACAAGAGUGUGGAGGAGCCAGUCCAGCCCGGAGGCACAGGCCUCUCCGAUAGCCGCACCCUCAGCUCCAGCUCCAUGGACCUUUCCCGACGAAGCUCCCUCGUGGGCUAAUCCUGAAGGGGCAGCCGGCCGCCAGAGCCUCCACCCAGCACUGUCCCCACCCCAGCCCUGCGCAUGGGCCUGCUGCUUGCCCCUCCUGUCUCUCCCAAGGACCCCUGUCUUUUCUGUUCAAUCUCAGGGUAAUCUCCCCCCUUGUCAUCUCAGCCGGAGCCCUGGAGGCUGGGCCCGCCCCUCCAACUCUUCCCCUUAUUUAUUCCUUCCAGCAGGGCCCUUCCCCCCCGAGGUUCAGGGUCCGCGGGAGGGGCUGGCCGGGGUCUCCCCUGCCCACCCGCAGCCAAGAACACUAAGCACCUGGCCUCCCUUCAGCGUCCCUGUCCUCCCCCGGCCGUUGCUUCUGUAUAUAGAGAAAUAAGUUAUUGGCCGCACCACUCCCCUCAGUCCUCGGUACUACCUGGCCUCCCCUCCCCACCCUUCUCUGGUGGUACCGCCCAGGCCUUAAUCAUCCCCAUUCCGCGCGGUGGUAUCUCCCAGGCUCCACAUCUCAGGGGCGGUGCCUCCGCAAAAGGGUUCCCUGGGCCGUCUCGCGUUCCUCCCUGCCUCCGAAGGGCGCGUCCCGCCCCGCCAACGCCCCUAACCCCAGGGCCGGGAGCCCGCCCCUUGCCCGUCCUCUCAGCGCCGGGCUCUGCCCUGCAGCCUGGCCCUAUGCACUGCCCC